rnacentral:lncRNA from 1 species
ACGCAAUGCUUCCAUGCGAAAGCUCUGUAUCGCGGUCGUGUUAUGUCUUUUGUUCAUGACCGUUGAAGUUUUUGGCGGGAUCAAAGCUAAUAGCUUGGCUAUACUAACCGAUGCAGCUCACCUUCUCUCUGACGUUGCUGCCUUUGCCAUCUCCUUGUUCUCCUUGUGGGCUGCUGGCUGGGAAGCCACUCCUAGGCAGACGUAUGGGUUUUUCAGGAUUGAGAUCCUCGGAGCUCUUGUCUCUAUCCAGCUCAUUUGGUUGCUCACUGGUAUUCUCGUCUACGAAGCCAUUAUCAGACUUCUUACCGAGACCACUGAGGUUAAUGGAUUCCUUAUGUUCCUUGUUGCUGCGUUUGGGCUGCUUGUGAAUAUCAUAAUGGCUGUUCUGCUCGGGCAUGAUCACGGUCAUGGACAUGGUCAUGACCAUCACAACCACGGUGGGGUGACUGUUACCACUCAUCACCAUCAUGAUCAUGGUCAUACUCAUGGAGAGGACAAGCACCACCACGCUCAUGGUGAUGUUACUGAGAAGUUACUCGACAAAUCGAAGCCGGAUAAAGAGAAGAGAAAGAGGAACAUCAAUGUCCAAGGAGCUUAUCUUCAUGUCCUUGGGGACUCCAUCCAGAGCGUUGGUGUUAUGAUCGGAGGAGCCAUCAUCUGGUACAACCCGGAAUGGAAAAUAGUAGACCUGAUCUGCACUCUUGUCUUCUCGGUUAUUGUCUUGGGAACAACCAUCAACAUGAUUCGAAGCAUUCUUGAAGUGUUGAUGGAGAGUACACCGAGAGAGAUUGAUGCUACAAAACUGGAAGAGGGUUUGGUGGAAUUGUCUUGGGAACAACCAUCAACAUGAUUCGAAGCAUUCUUGAAGUGUUGAUGGAGAGUACACCGAGAGAGAUUGAUGCUACAAAACUGGAAGAGGGUUUGGUGGAAAUGGAAGAAGUGGUGGCUGUUCAUGAGCUUCACAUUUGGGCUAUCACAGUGGGAAAAGUGCUGCUCGCUUGCCAUGUCAAUAUCAGACCAGAAGCAGAUGCAGAUAUGGUGCUCAACAAGGUCAUUGAUUACAUCCGCAGGGAGUACAAUAUUAGUCAUGUCACAAUACAAAUUGAGCGCUAAGAGCAAACCAAACAUGUGAAGGAAUAUUCUGUAUCAGCUUUCUCAUUAACAACCAUUAAAUCAAUAGUUUCCAAUCUUUUUCACAUUCUCGAGUGUUAUAUGUCAUCUUCUUUUGGUUUAGCUUAAGUAAACACAAAAAAAUCUAUCCAAUGAGAACCCGAAGAUCGCCACGUUAGCAUUAUCCUAUCUUGACACUUGUUCUCCAUUAAUCUAAAAAAAAUGGCUCUAUAUAAAUAUUGGAGAUUGUUAUAAUCGAGGUAAGAUUAUUUAUACAUUGUAUAAAAGUUAGUUCAAAUACUUGUGGAGAUUCUAUUUAGAAUGUAAUAUGUUAAGAGCAAUUUUCGAAUUGUGAUAUACUGAAAAUAACAAUAAACUCAAUAAUAGUUUUAUUUAAAUUUAAUCAUCAAUUUCCAUUAAACAUAAUUGGUUGUACAUGAUAUUCGUAUGUAGCUGGUAAAAUAUGUAAGAAUUUAUUAAUAAUGCAAUCUUUUGGAAUAUGAAUGACUAUUACUGAACAAUGACUGUAUAUGUUGAGACAAGUUUGUAUAGAACGAAUAUUUCAGAUGUCAUGAAUCCUACUACUGAACUUAUAUAUAUGUUAUCCAAUUUUAGAAUACAAAAGGGGAUCGAUUGCCGAAUUCAUAAGUAUGUCUCUCUAUUUAUAAAUGUGGUUCCUAUAUUUAGUCUCAGUCUCUCUGUCAAAAAUAUUAAAAUUAGUUAAAUGUAAUGGUCUAGUGACUUUUUGUAAGUAGAUAUGAAAAUGUUUAUGUUUUAAUAGUAUAGAUAUAUAGAUAAAAUGCAAAAUAACAUGGGAAAAAUGAAUCUCUUUGUGGAUCAUCUGAGAAUUUGUCUCGAUAUCUACUGCUUACUGUUCGUAAAUGUGAAACCAUAUAGUUUUUUUUUUUGGGUCAAACGUGAAACCAUAUAGUUUUUCUACCUUCUUUGCGUUUAGUCUAGGAGUUGGACAGAUCACAGACAAUAGUCUAGCAAUACACAAUGAGGGACUUUUCCUUGGAACUUGCCCCACAAGGCGACAAUAAUUCCAUGACCGCGCCAGCAUAACACAAGACCAUUGUAAGGCCCAUGAUGCCAAAUAACUGAUAACAGUUGCUACCAGCUGAGUUAUGUAUAUGAUUGUCAUUGUUGCCAAACAUCCCUGUAAUGCGAGCAUCGUAACAGGAGUCCCCGUGAGUUCCUUUCUCAAGUCGUUUCGUUGCGAAUAGAAGGAGAAACCUUUAGAUCUGACAGUGACAUUCCGUAAUUUUUAAUCUUUGUUUCGUAAAUAAAAUACAAAUCUUAUUUUUUUUUCUACAUUGUGUAUUUUUUUCUUUCUAUUAGUACACGGAUUAUCAAGUAUACAUAAUAUCGAUGGAAACUUUAUACAAUAAAAAACGUUGGAUUAAAACAAGAGAUUAGCGUUUUGGAGUAAAAAUAGGAGAGCUCGAGGUCCAAUGGUGCGAUGUGUUAGCUGUUCAACGGACCAUUAGUCUCCUAUUCCCCAACUUCCAUAAUCUCCCUCCUUCGCAUCUUCACCCUCCAUUUUCAACCUAUAUCCUUACGAUCUCGACACCUGACGUUUUUGUUGAUUCACACACGUAUGUCACAAUUCUCAAUUCUCAUAUUUUCACAAUUCUCAAUAUUUUCACAGUUCUCUAAAUAUUAGUAUUAUAUUUUCAAGUCCCACGAAUGUAGCUUUUGAUGCAUUAAUACAAAGUCUUAAUAUUCUUUUAAACAUCUUUACUCAUCGAUUAUUCUCUGAAAAAUGUGUCCUCUGUUUCUCCCUUCUUCGUCUUCCUCCUCUGCUCUGUUUCUACUUCUUCUCCUCCUCCUCACUCUCCAAACCCUAAUUCCCUUUCCACCUCUCUUCCUUCUCCUCCCCCGUUGCUUUUCGACUUACUUGCGCAAACUCAUCAACUCUGUUUCUCCACAUAAACCACCAAACCUACCGAGUCAUCGAGUUCUUCACAGACGGUCUCCUCGUAGACUUCCCUUCCUCUCCGUGUCGCCAAUUCAACGAUUUACGCUCUUGUUGCUGCGUUUGGGCUGCUUGUGAAUAUCAUAAUGGCUGUUCUGCUCGGGCAUGAUCACGGUCAUGGGCAUGGGCAUGACCAUCACAACCACGGUAAUUACUGGUUUUAGAUUACGUCAACUUUGCAACAUGCUCAAAAAUAUUGACACGAUUCUCAACCAUUUUUAUUGGUAUUUAAGUAUAGUCCAAUAAUUAUGUGUGUUAAAUAAACCGAGAAUAUUUGUUUUAUAUUUAUUUUAUUUUGCUUUAUAUUAGUCAAAGAAAAUAAGUCUAGGUAAAACAUAUGUAUCCAAUGAACCAAACUGAACUAGAUUUGAAAGCAAUGUUAAACACAAACUAAACUGAUUAAGUACUCUAAACGUUUAAUAUCCAGAUAACCAGAUCUGAAUCUGAUCGAAACUAAAAUAUUGUGGAUACCAAAAAUAUUUGAAUCAUAAUUAUAUAUUUAAUAUGUUAAUUAUUUUAAAUUUUACAUCUACUAGAUAUUCAAAAAUAUGAAAAUAUCUAAAAAUUAUCAAAAUAGUCGCAAGUAAAUAUCUAAAAAUAACAAAAAAUAUUCAAAAUACUGAAAAUAUUUAUUUGUUCUCCAUCCAAAUAUUUAAAUUGAACUAAUUUUAUGUUUUAUAAUAUUUUAUUUUAAUAUUAUGUAUAUUAUAUUUUUGUUAAAAAAAAAUAAUUAAAAUGGAUAUCCGAACUCAAAUCCGAACCAAACCCGCAAUGCUUCGAACGAAAUCCAAACCACAAUUUGUAAAUAUUCGAAUACGAUUUAAAUUUUUAACCUUAAAAAUCUGAAAUCUGAAUAGAUUAACUGAAUCCAAACAGAUAUAUGAAUGCUCAUCCCAAGAAAAAACUAUACAACAAAUCUUUUAGUACAUCAUACAAUAAAUAAUCUAAUAAACAAUUUUACUGCACGCUUAGCAUGGAUUACUACCUACUGAGCUGGAAAAUAUUCAAACUCUUUGGUUGUUUUUUUUGGACUUCAAUAUCACCUACUUUCCAUGGACGCAAAAUGAGAUUGCGGAUUCGUUAACUAGAAAUGCACGUUCUUGUCAUAGAUCCUUAUGCUUUAUUGGUUAUUCUAUUCCGGUCUAGCUCCCGAGACCACCUCAAGUUUGAGUAAUAGAAUAGUCGUGCAGUGAAAAAAAAAGAUGGAUUACUACCUAGUAAAAUUCUUUAUUAAAUACAACUUGUUUUAAAAAGCAACGAAGAAAUUAAUGAUGAAAAAACGUAGUUGGAAAAGAAAUACGUAUUUAACAAUCCCCAAUUCAAACAAAUAACAUUUCAAGUAUCUUCACUUUAAUUUCAGAAUUGUUUUUAGGUAAACUGUUAAAUUUAAUAUCAGAAUUGAUUGCAUAUAUCUAUCAGAGAAAUACGUUUCUAUGAGUUAAAAAGAAGCAAUUAAGCAUUAAAUUAAGCAUUAAAUGAUGGCAUGAAUUUCUAACAAAUCCAAAUGGAAGCAACCAACUUUUUAGGUAUUACUUGUUGAUUACUGGUUGGAGAACAUUAAUUUAAAAUCAUUAAAUUUUAUCCAACGACUUCAAGAGAUUAUCAAGAGAGAGUUAGGGUAUGACUGGUUUUCCCGCUACCACCCGCAAACGCAGCUUUUGCGGUUGGUAGCGGUUGCUGGCGUUUUGCACCAAUCGUUCAAACCGCUCUAAACCGCUCCAAAUCGCUCCAAAUCGCUCUGAACCUCAUAAAUUCAAAAGCUGGUUCCAGCUAGCGUUUGCGGUUGCGGACGUUUGCGGGAGGAUAAAUUUUUUUUUUUUUUUUCCAAAACAAUAUAAAUACAAAAAUAAAAAUAUUCAAUAAAAAAUUAAAUUAGAAUUAUAAAAAUGCUAAAAUAUAUCUAUUAUAUUUUAAUUAAUAUUAUAAAACUUUAAAAUAAAAAUAUUUUCUAUAAUUUUUAAAAAAUUUAAAGUAUAACUUUCUAAAUAUAACUUUUAUAUUUAUUAUAAUAUUAUUAUUUUUGAUAUUUUUAUUAUUGUAUAAAAUGAAAAUAUUGUUAAUUUAUUAUUUAACCGCUGCUGCAUUUAGUAGUUAACCUGUCAUAAGUAUCUCGCAAACGCACCAAUUUCUAACCGUUAGAAACCACAACCACCCGCAUCUGCAAUCUUCCGUAACCGCAACCGCUGCGGUUGAACCAGUCAGACCUUUAGUGUCUAGUUGGUCUAAACCCCGAGAACCUAAGGAAACUUCCCUUGAAGUUUGUUUAUUUCGUUGGUUUUAUGAUAGACUUAUUAAUUUAUUUUUAUUCUUAGUGUUAUCUUGUCAGCUAAUGUUUGUCGCAUUUGUAUAUAGUUCAACUCUACGAAUCAUCCAGCUACGUCAAACCCGUGCCUCCAUAUUUGUUUUCUUUGUUCAUCUUGACAAGUAAUUUCUAAUUUGUAAGCGGAAUAUUAAAAAGUUAGGUAUUUUAAUUCUGACAAGAAAAGACAAUGGAUAAAACCCCAAACCAAUCAUUUUAGUAAGCCGCUUAAUAUACCCAAUCAUACAAUCAAACCAAACCAGGGCUGGGUUAAUUAAUACGGGUCAGUAGAUAUCGCCACGUGUAUUGAAUGUUGACCGUCGAAGGCAAAACAAAACCAAAAGAGAUGGGAGAUCUGAAAGGCAGAAAAAAGGAAGGUGGAUCUCGUGAGAUUGGUGGCGCCUCCUGAUAUAUAUACUCUAUAAAAAAGACAUAACUCCUCCUUUCCUGGUGAGCACAGGCACGACGACACGAGGCUCUUCUUCUUUUUGUAAAUAAAUAACCCAACCACCACCCACCUUGAAUCUCUCAGCUCUCUUCUUCUGGUAAUUUAGCUUCUUCUUUUCAAUCAGCCUUUGCCGUUGCAUCUCUUGUAGCUCUUAAUAUAUCUCUUAAAUUGUACUGUAGUAUUUAAUAGGGUUUUUAUGGAUGGUUUUCUAGAUUGUGACAUAUGAAUUGGUUCUGUCUGAUUGUGACACUUUGAUGUCUUUUUCUGUAUCUCGUAAAUUGUACUGUAGUAUUUAAUAGGGUCUUGACUCUGGUAAUGAUGAUAAUUAUUUUGUUAUCGUUGACUACAGACUAGCUUGUUUUUAUAUAUAAAAUAUAUAUUCUUUCGUAUGUGUUUUUGCUUGAAGAUUCUGCUUCUUAUUUCUCCCACUACUAGACUAGUAGUAGGAUACAUGUUCUCGUUGUCUGAUUUGACUUUUGAUGAUAAUAAAGUUGCUUUUUUUUUUGUAGAUAGAGAUUGUCAUCUCCUUUUUCUUCUUCUUUUCAGAUGGCGUCCUCAAGCCCUCAACAUAGUCACAUCAUUGAGGUUAAUAUAGCAAAACCUGAUGAACAGAGAACAACACUUGGGGCAAGUAAAGCCUGUGGAGAAGCACCUUGUGGGUUCUCAGAUCUCAACAAUGCUUCUGGUGAUGCACAUGAACGCAAUGCUUCCAUGCGAAAGCUCUGUAUCGCGGUCGUGUUAUGUCUUUUGUUCAUGACCGUUGAAGUUUUUGGCGGGAUCAAAGCUAAUAGCUUGGCUAUACUAACCGAUGCAGCUCACCUUCUCUCUGACGUUGCUGCCUUUGCCAUCUCCUUGUUCUCCUUGUGGGCUGCUGGCUGGGAAGCCACUCCUAGGCAGACGUAUGGGUUUUUCAGGAUUGAGAUCCUCGGAGCUCUUGUCUCU